CAUAAACCAUAGCCGGCUGUAGAUAUUUUUAUAAGUGGGGCAGUUAAUAAUAAGUGAGCUUGGACUGCUCGUAAAAUUUUAUUUAAGAUUUACCAAGCCUUAAAAUAGCUUUUAUUUCCAUCUUCUUCCAAGAUAAUUCUUAUAUAAUAAAGAAAGACUUCUCUUACUUUAGUUGGGGGGCAUAGUGUCCCAAUUUCUCACUCUUCCACUCCGCUCAAAUUCUCCAAACAAGUUUGAAGCUUGAAGCGCACCAGGUUGCAUUUUACUUUCGAUGGAAACCGGCUUCAUAUAACAAACGACCUUGUAACUUUUACUGAGCCACGAGAUGUGAGAUAUCAGUAAUGGGAUGGUGCGUCUUCUUCUUGUAUUCGUGGUCUGGUUCGAGAUGAAAAAGUCUUCGUGAGACAAGACCAUCGUCAGCAAAGAAGUUGGUAUAUAAACGUAUCUGGAUGGACAUGUUUUUAUAAGGUUUUUAUAUACUUUUGGGUUUCAAUGCCGAAUUCUUGUAUGGUCAAAGGUAAUUACAGUAACAAGAGGUAUUUAUGAAGAACAGUGCUAGUUAAUUGCUGCAACACUUUGUUUUAAGUAGAGAAGUAUUGUGUAAUAUGGGUUAUUAAAUGUUAUGCAAGGGCAAGAAGUUUAAUUGUCAAUGAUGGAAUGUAUUUGUUAUAAAGCCAAAACCUCUAUGAGUUUUAAUGUAUUUUAUUUUUUUGUUUAAUAUACAUACAUAGAUAUAGUUAAAAAAUAAUUUUAAAUAUACCGUAAACAAGUUAUAGAGCAUAUUGAAAAAGAACUUUAGAAGUGUUAACUGACGUAAAGGGUACUCUAUGACGUGUUUCGAUGCUGCGUUUUAUAUUCA